ensembl:lncRNA
GCUUCAAACGUCACUGAAGUGAUUCAAACGUCACGAGUCACGUGACCAAACCACGCCUCGGCACAGUGGCUCGAUACGUUUGCUUCAUGAACUCAGAGGACCAUCACUAGCAGCAGAGACUCUGCUCUCCUCGUUUGGAUUGAUUCUGAUAUAAUAACUGUUGGUUUAUUUAUCGGUGCAGCAGCAGAACAUUUUCCACAGACAGUUUUCCUGCCUGUUGGCUUGUUUUAACCAGUUUUCUGCCUUCGGCUGAUUUUACCAGCAGACACUGAAAGGACUCUGAUACUUCGAGUGAAAGUAGCAGUUCCUCCUGAAGGUCAGAGAUUGCAGCAUCUGAGGGCCUCUUCAAAAGAAGACGUAGUUGAUGAAGGCGUUCUGGAGCAGGACCAGAAAGACCACGACCAAGCAGCCUUGAGAUCUGAGGCAGCGUCUCCCUCAGGUCCCUCUCUAUCUCCCUACACAUCCACCAACCACUGGAACACAUCUCCAAAGUUCUGCUGGACCAGCUCAGCUUCCCCUCAGAAGAAGUGGUGCCACCUGCCAGAUGAAGGAGCCUUUUGAGAGGCAGCUGGCAUCAUGAUUGGACUGUACUUUGGUCUGUUCCAAUCCAGCUUCAGCUCCAGAGACGGCAGGCGGGACGAGUCAACGGAGGCCGGAUGGACGAAGGCAUGAAGCUGAGUACAAUCCAGAAAACAACAGAGGAGGAGUGCAGCAGCCCAGAGCCAGAACAACCAGAGUAGCAUCACUAAAGAACUACAGACUCUUCACAACCUGCUCAAAUUCUUGGUACAGGACCUCACCACACGGGUCAAGAAGGUUUCCUUCUCAUUUCUACUCUGAAGCUCACCUUCUCCUGCUCAAACUGCUGACAAAUGUUUCUGCUGCUCUAAAGUCUGGUCUCCAGAACUUCCUAAAAACUCUCAAAGUCUCUUCUGCUGCAGGUUGCUUUGUAGAACUGUUCCAGAAAACCUCACUAAACCACAUGGAGGGGCCUCAAGAUAGUCGUCCAAAUGAAACCGUACAAAAACCAAACUAACACAAUCCAAACGCUAAAGUCUCCUGCAGCCUACCAGAGAACCUCUGAGAACAGAGAAUCAGGACAGGAACUCUUACCUUCUGGACAACCAACGUUGGUUCUCAAACAAGAAUACAUAAUGUGUCUGACCAAAAACCUCUAAAGACUCACUACAGCCAAGAUAAAGACACAACUCAGCUGCAGCAAAUCCACUAAUCACUGCACACAUUAGCACCAUGUGCUAACUGUGGCUAAAGAACCACAUUUACCAAGACAACUAUCCAGUACAAAGCCCUAAAACACACCAAGAAACACAUUAAAGACGAUUUUACUGCUGGAAGCUGCAAGCCAACGCCUAAAGAACAAACUGAAGCAAUGGAGCCAAACCCGGUUCACUGGUGAACAGAAGCAGAGGAAAUGUUUGUCUGCAGCUAAAUAAAGCAGGAAGACACUGAGCUGCUCAGGUGUUCCUGAAAACACCAAGCAGCUACCUGGACAGCCAAUAGGAACACAGCUUCCUGGACAGCCAAUAGGAACACAGCCACCUGGACAGCCAAUAGGAACACAGCUUACUGGAAGUCCAGAGGACUGGGUUAGUCAAGGAAAUUUAGUUCAAAGUUGAAGCAGAAAGUUAACAAAGAAAGUUGAAAACCACCUUCUGAUACCUGAAAUCUCUGAGUUUUCAAACAAAGAACACCUGAACAUGUCAAACUGGUUCCAUAGUAGAACCAUCAUUGUAAAAACAUCAUAGUAUGGUGUGUUGCUCCAAAAACAUUAGGACCCGGCUGUCUAGGGUCGCAGAGGAGCAACACAAAAACAGGACAAACGCUGGUUUCCAUGGGGUUAGGAGGCUAUUUAUUUGAAAGAGGAAGUUUACAACAACACAACAUGUGAGCAGAAAAAUCACAAAGUCUGUCUUUAGUUCAGCUGAAAAUAUUAGUUUUUGUCUUUUUUAUAGACCAAACUUUUCAGGAAGUAGAUGAAGAAUAAUUAAAGCUCUCAUGUAGAAGUAAACUUAUUUUGGAUCCUUGUGGAGAGUUUAAUCUUAGAGUUUGUAAAGCUGUUGAGUUUUUAGAGUCACAUGGAUUGUUUUGACAUUUAAUAACGGAGUCCUGAAAUAAAAUUACAGUUGUGGAUUUCUGUCAUUUAGUCUGGACUAAACAAGUAACAGCAGCAUAAAUCUCAAAUGUCAUUAUGAGGAGUCUGGAUUGAGGUUUCUCACUUGAUAAUGAUCAAAACAUGAAAUAUAGGUUGGUUUAAACCACGUUAAAUCUUUGAAUGUUGACCUAAAAGGUUGGUUUCAGGAAGUAUUCCACCUACAAGGUCCUCAAACAUCCACCUUAAAGGAACAUUCCACCAAAAAUCCUUGGACAUUCACCUAAAAUGUUGGUUUAACCGAGUAUUCCAUCCAAAAUCCUCAAAGAGACCUGAGGGGCUGGUUAAAAGGAACAUUCCACAUAAAACCUCAAAUAUAGACCCCAAAGGGUGGUUUAGAAAAAAUCCUUCAAUGUAGACCAAAAAAGUUAGUAUGGAGGAAUAUUCCACCUGAAAUGUCGACCUGAGAAGUUGGUUUGGAAGAAUAUACCAUCCUAAACAUCCUUAAAUGUAGACUAAAAGACGUUUGGAAGAAAAUUCCACCUAAAAUCCUCCAAUGUAGUCCUAAAAGGUGACUUUAAUGGUAUAUUCCACCUAAAAUUCACUACUGUAGACCUUGGAGGUUGGUCUGAUGGUAUAUUCCACCCAACAUCCUUGAACAUAAACUUAAAAAGUUCAUUCAAAGGAAUAUUCCACUUAAAAUCCUUCAAUGUAGACCAAAAAGUCUUGGUGUAAAGGAGUAUUCCACCUUAAAUGUAGACCUAAAGGAUGGUUUGGAGUAAUAUUCUACUCUAAAAUCUUCCAAUGUAGACCUAAAAGGUUGAUCUGAUGGUAUAUUCUACCCAACAUCCUGGAACAUUUAUCUAAAAGGUUGGUUUAAUGGUAUAUUCCCAGAAGAACCCUUGAACAUUGGGCUUAAUGGUAUAUUCCACCCAAAAUACUUGUACAUAUACUAAGAAGUCAAAAAAAAUGUGAUUUUUCAACAUGUUGUAAAAACGUGCCAUAUGAUGAAAUAAUGUAAAGGAGGCUGUGAAAAACACUCCAGAAAGGUUUUCUUUGAAAAAAAUCAUCAUGAAUUUUGGCGCCAAAAAACGCCUUACUAUACUAUGUCGAAAAAAAUUUC